rnacentral:piRNA from 1 species
UCACCAAGGCUAAACUCACCGGCGGG